rnacentral:rRNA from 1 species
UACUAGAGUAGCACUCGCAUAUCAAUAAGCGGAGGAAAAGAAACUAACAAGGAUUCCCCUAGUAACGGCGAGUGAAGCGGGAAGAGCUCAAAUUUGAAAUCUUAAAGGGUUUCCCUUUACGAAUUGUAGUUUAAAGAAGUGUUUUCUGUUGAGGUUUUGGUAAAAGUUCUUUGGAAUAGGACAUCAUAGAGGGUGAGAAUCCCGUAUUUGACCUUUACUUUCAACUUUGUGAUACACUUUCAAAGAGUCGGAUUGUUUGGGAAUGCAGUCCAAAAUGGGUGGUAAAUUUCAUCUAAAGCUAAAUAUUGGCGAGAGACCGAUAGCGAACAAGUACCGUGAGGGAAAGAUGAAAAGAACUUUGAAAAGAGAGUUAAACAGUACGUGAAAUUGUCAAAAGGGAAGCGUUUGACACCAGUGUUGUUUUUCUGAAAAUCAAUUAAAGAACUGUUUAUGCUAAGUUGUUUAGACUUUAUCAGCUAACUGUUUAGUUUUGAGCUUUUCUUUAAUGCACUUUUCAGUUAACAAGUCAACAUCAAUUUCUUUUGCUGUAAAAAGGCUUGAGGAAGGUGGCUUGAGAUUCGUCUUAAGUGUUUAUAGCCUCUUGCCUAUGCAGUCGGAGAGAUUGAGGUCUGCAGCGUAGAUCCUUCGGGGCUAAAUGCAUUUGUGCUAAGUUAUAGCAUUUUAUAGACAACUUGUUCGACUAUGAUUUGUCUUGUAGCUUACUCGCUUAUGUUAUUUUACCUACGCUUAGGAUGUUGAACUCUAUCACACACAG